UACGUAGGGGGCUAGCGUUGUCCGGAUUUAUUGGGCGUAAAGAGCGUGUAGGCGGCCAUGUAGGUCCGGUGUGAAAACUCGAGGCUUAACCUCGAGAUGUCAUCGGAAACCAUUUGGCUAGAGUCCGGAAGAGGAGAGUGGAAUUCCUGGUGUAGCGGUGAAAUGCGCAGAUAUCAGGAAGAACACCAAUGGCGAAGGCAGGUCUCUGGGCCACUACUGACGCUGAGAAGCGAAAGCAUGGGGAGCGAACAGG
rnacentral:rRNA from 1 species